UCUUUUCCCACCGGAGCUUGCUCCACCGGGAAAAGAGGAGUGGCGAACGGGUGAGUAACACGUGGGUAACCUGCCCAUCAGAAGGGGAUAACACUUGGAAACAGGUGCUAAUACCGUAUAACAAUCGAAACCGCAUGGUUUCGUUUUGAAAGGCGCUUUACGGUGCCGCUGAUGGAUGGACCCGCGGUGCAUUAGCUAGUUGGUGAGGUAACGGCUCACCAAGGCCACGAUGCAUAGCCGACCUGAGAGGGUGAUCGGCCACAUUGGGACUGAGACACGGCCCAAACUCCUACGGGAGGCAGCAGUAGGGAAUCUUCGGCAAUGGACGAAAGUCUGACCGAGCAACGCCGCGUGAGUGAAGAAGGUUUUCGGAUCGUAAAACUCUGUUGUUAGAGAAGAACAAGGGUGAGAGUAACUGUUCACCCCUUGACGGUAUCUAACCAGAAAGCCACGGCUAACUACGUGCCAGCAGCCGCGGUAAUACGUAGGUGGCAAGCGUUGUCCGGAUUUAUUGGGCGUAAAGCGAGCGCAGGCGGUUUCUUAAGUCUGAUGUGAAAGCCCCCGGCUCAACCGGGGAGGGUCAUUGGAAACUGGGAGACUUGAGUGCAGAAGAGGAGAGUGGAAUUCCAUGUGUAGCGGUGAAAUGCGUAGAUAUAUGGAGGAACACCAGUGGCGAAGGCGGCUCUCUGGUCUGUAACUGACGCUGAGGCUCGAAAGCGUGGGGAGCAAACAGGAUUAGAUACCCUGGUAGUCCACGCCGUAAACGAUGAGUGCUAAGUGUUGGAGGGUUUCCGCCCUUCAGUGCUGCAGCUAACGCAUUAAGCACUCCGCCUGGGG
rnacentral:rRNA from 1 species